CGGCAUAUACCACCAGUGGUAGGUGGCGGGCUUUCACCCUGGUCUCCGGUUCGAUUCCGGAUGUGUCGA
rnacentral:tRNA from 1 species